rnacentral:misc_RNA from 1 species
UCUUCUUCUCUGCGCUAUCCUCUCUCUCUCUCUCCCGGCGCUCUCCUUCCCCAGCCGUGGAGCUCCCACGCACGAUUCUCUACUCCAUCUCCUAACCGAGCCCCCUCCAGCCACCUCCCUCGGCUUCUUCCUCCCAUCCGACCGCCCCUGCUCAUCUUCCUACCUCCCGCAGCUCCCAGCCGAGCGGUUCUCUCCCCCUGUGCGCCCUUCCUGCUUCCCCUGCUCGGAUUUCUACUUUCCUCCAUGGCCGAACGUCCUCUUCAUCUCUGGUCGACCUCCUCUCGCGCUCGGCUCUUCACCGGCGAGCUCCCUGGUGCCGCGCCCGGCUCCUUGCCCCAGGACCUUGCCGCGCGAGCUUGCCUCUGCUCGGCCGCGCUCACGCCGGCUCCCUGUUCGGCGAUGGAAGACGCGUCGCGCGCCCAAGUUCCUGCGCGUCCCUCUGCCCCUACGUGUGCUCCUAUGUCCAUGCCGCGCUCCCAGUGUCGAGCUCCAGCCGCGUCCCUGUCCCUGUCCAUGGCCGCCGAGUCUCUCUGCGCGCGGCUCGCGCCCUGCACGGAUCCCCUCCCUCUGCCCAGAUCUCGACUUUCGGCCCAGCUCGCUCCAGCUUUGUUGUCGCGCAGGUCACCGGCCUCCGUUUGCCACGCGCAGCUGGCGUUUCUUCUUGACGCGCGCUCCGCCUGCCGUCUCCCUGCGCGCCGUGGUAUCCCGGCUUUUCCUAGCUCGGAGCGCGUUCAGUCCCCAGCUCGCCGUGCCCGGUCGAGCUCUCUGCGCACACGCCGCGCGCAGCUAUGUCCCUAUGCUCGCUGUGGCCGGCCUUGCUUGCUGUCUGUCCACGCGUCGUGCGUGGAGUAAUAAAACAAAAAUCCGUGCGCGUCGGGCUCACGCGCCAAAUCUUUUUCUAACUCGCCAGCGUGCCCUCUCGGCUCGCUCGGCUUUAAAAUUUCUAUCUCGUCGUCGUUCCGCAAGUCACCAAGAAACCCCAGAAUCGGGUGAAGACGAAGCCAGCAGCGUAAUAUUCACCAAGUGCGCGACAAAAAGCUCGAGCCAGGAUUUAUCCGCAUUCGUACGAGUAUUGGGUCGCGUUUGAUGCUGGUACGCUUAUUAAUCGCGCGAUGCGGAAGACAAGCCAAGUCGACCCCAAGCGCGGGCUAAUCCGCAGGAUGAAGCUGAUGGACAAUGGAGCGAGUAUCGGAAUAAAGGCUGAUCGUCAAGCGAACGUCGUCUAACAACACUAACCUAGUGUUACUCAGGUUCUAACCUUGUGCUGUUGUGAUGGUGUUAAGUGCCGGUGGGCUCGGCCUUCUUAUAUAAGUAUACCCCGUCUUUAUCUUCUUAUUGAGGAUGAUCACUUGAGCUAGCA